rnacentral:rRNA from 1 species
AUUGAACGCUGGCGGCAUGCCUUACACAUGCAAGUCGAACGGUAACGGGCCUUCGGGUGCCGACGAGUGGCGAACGGGUGAGUAAUGUAUCGGAACGUACCUUUCAGUGGGGGAUAACGUAGCGAAAGUUACGCUAAUACCGCAUAUUCUGUGCGCAGGAAAGCAGGGGAUCGCAAGACCUUGCGCUGAUUGAGCGGCCGAUAUCAGAUUAGCUAGUUGGUGAGGUAAAGGCUCACCAAGGCGACGAUCUGUAGCGGGUCUGAGAGGAUGAUCCGCCACACUUGAACUGAGACACGGUCCAGACUCCUACGGGAGGCAGCAGUGGGGAAUUUUGGACAAUGGGGGCAACCCUGAUCCAGCCAUGCCGCGUGAGUGAAGAAGGCCUUCGGGUUGUAAAGCUCUUUCGGCCGGGAAGAAAUCGUAUCAGCUAAUACCUGGUGCGGAUGACGGUACCGGCAUAAGAAGCACCGGCUAACUACGUGCCAGCAGCCGCGGUAACAC